rnacentral:rRNA from 1 species
UGCGUAGGCGGCGCGGUAAGUCGGGUGUGAAAUCUCGGAGCUUAACUCCGAAACUGCAUUCGAUACUGCCGUGCUUGAGGACUGGAGAGGAGACUGGAAUUUACGGUGUAGCGGUGAAAUGCGUAGAUAUCGUAAGGAAGACCAGUGGCGAAGGCGGGUCUCUGGACAGUUCCUGACGCUGAGGUACGAAGGCCAGGGGAGCAAACGG